UCUACCUCCAUAUCACCCUGUAGGUGCCCAGUCUGGUCUGAUCUCAGAAGCUUAGCAGUUGGGCCCAGUUAGUGUUUGGAUGGGAAACCCCCUGGGUAUUUAAUAGUUGGUGCUGGAA
rnacentral:rRNA from 1 species